UACGUAGGGGGCAAGCGUUGUCCGGAAUCAUUGGGCGUAAAGCGCGUGUAGGCGGCUGACUAAGUCCGCUCUGAAAGCCCGGGGCUCAACCCCGGGAGGCGGAUGGAUACUGCAAGGCUCGAGUCCGGAAGAGGCGAGUGGAAUUCCCCGGUGUAGCGGUGAAAUGCGCAGAUAUCGGGAGGAACACCAAUGGCGAAGGCAGCUCGCUGGGACGGUACUGACGCUGAGACGGCGAAAGCGUGGGGAGCAAACAGG
rnacentral:rRNA from 1 species